rnacentral:rRNA from 1 species
UACGAAGGGUGCAAGCGUUAAUCGGAAUUACUGGGCGUAAAGGGUGCGUAGGCGGUUCGUUAAGUCUGUCGUGAAAUCCCCGGGCUCAACCUGGGAAUGGCGAUGGAUACUGGCGAGCUAGAGUGUGUCAGAGGAUGGUGGAAUUCCCGGUGUAGCGGUGAAAUGCGUAGAGAUCGGGAGGAACAUCAGUGGCGAAGGCGGCCAUCUGGGACAACACUGACGCUGAAGCACGAAAGCGUGGGGAGCAGACAGG